rnacentral:rRNA from 1 species
UACGGGGGGGGCAAGCGUUGUUCGGAUUUACUGGGCGUAAAGGGCGCGUAGGCGGCCAGCACAAGUCAGUUGUGAAAUCUCCGAGCUUAACUCGGAACGGUCAACUGAUACUGUGCGGCUAGAGUGCAGAAGGGGCAACUGGAAUUCUUGGUGUAGCGGUGAAAUGCGUAGAUAUCAAGAGGAACACCUGCGGCGAAGGCGGGUUGCUGGGCUGACGCUGACGCUGAGGCGCGAAAGCUAGGGGAGCGAACGGG